UACGGAGGGGGCCAGCGUUGUUCGGAAUCAUUGGGCGUAAAGGGCGCGUAGGCGGCGCGGUAAGUCAAAGGUGAAAUCCCUCGGCUCAACUGAGGAACUGCCUUUGAAACUGUCGUGCUUGAGUCCGGGAGGGGGUAGCGGAAUUCCCAGUGUAGCGGUGAAAUGCGUAGAUAUUGGGAGGAACACCAGUGGCGAAGGCGGCUACCUGGACCGGUACUGACGCUGAUGCGCGAAAGCGUGGGGAGCAAACAGG
rnacentral:rRNA from 1 species